GGGAGCCCGGCGGACGCUGGGUCUGCAGAUGCCAUCCAGGCGCACGGCGGGUAUAGUGGUUCCGCAACCUUGGGAUGUUCGGCUGAGCGCCUGCCUAACAUGGGAGCGCCUGCCUAACCCUCCUGACUGGAGGGUCAGCGGCGGGGAGUCCUGGCCUUCAAUCGGCCAUCGCCACGGCAGAAACUGGGGCCCGGGCUGCGUCCAGGCCCUUCCCCGUCCGUCCACAGGUCUCAUGGGCGCCCGGACUGGGGCUGAUGUAGUUUCCCGACCUCUGACACAUAGGAUCUGGAGAUUAAAGCUGCUCUGCUAAUAAUUAGGUUCCCACCUCUCAAGAUCAUUAGGAGCUUCUUUUCCAAUUCCUCUGUUUUGCAUGCAUUGGAAGGAUCUGGAGCUCAGGACCCACUACCUCCCCGGCCCACUGCAAGCUUGAACAUUUGAUGGUGGACACCCCUCCCUGACUUUGUAUUAUGAUUCACAGGCUGCUCCCCAGAAUACUGAAGAAGAAACUCUAGGAGUGAGACCCAACAAUCUGUGUUUAACAAGUCCCCAGGCCCCUGGAUCCUCCUGGAAUCCCUGAUCCCUGUUGCUCCCUGGCGGAGUUUUCUAGUCCCUCUUACUUGAAGCAUGUCUUUCAGAGCCCGGCACCACCCAAGUUGGGUAUCUGAUACCCCAUCAGCCUGAGUCUCUUAAAGGCCUUUAUACACAUAUGUCUACACAUAGGGAUUUGGAUGAUCUCGGGAUCCCACAUCCUCGCUGUCCCCUGUCCCCCCACAACAUCCCACACCAAUACCUUUCUGAAGUUUUCUAGUCCCUCCUUUUUGUUUGUGGUCCUUAAAGCCCAGCCCCAUGCCUGACUUUGGUUCCCAGUGAGCAUUGUACAUUUGUGGAUAUUAAAUCUUUGGCAAAGUCAUUUA
rnacentral:lncRNA from 1 species